ensembl:lncRNA uncharacterized LOC111928306
AUGAUGAGCGACAUCGUUAGCAGCUGGAAGCUGGAGCAGUUUGUGCUCCAGAAGUGUCUCCCCCCAAUCUGGUCACCAGGGUCUUUCCAGGGCCCAGAUGCUUACCAGCAGCUGUGCCAGCAGUGGGAGAGCUGGUCAGAGGAGAACAAAAAGCCCAAACCCACUAACAAGUGUAAGAAGCGAGCGGCUUUGCAGGGUUUGCUGAUGGUAGGCAGGGAGUUGUCCAGAUUGCUGAAGGAGGCUCUUGACAAUGUGCAGACCUUGGAGCAGGCCAAGGAGGAGCUCAAAAUCCAGGUGGACAACCUGCGGGCAGAGGUGCAGGGUUUGUGUGGGGACUCUCUGCGGAGCGCGGUGGAGAUUAGCCGACUGGAAAACAAGCUGGGCUAUGAGAAACUGAAAACGGAGGAGUUGAAGAAGGAGGUUGGCAAGUGGAUUGGGGAGACCCACGAUGCCCAGAGUGCAGUGCGGGCGGUCCUGCAGGACGUCCAGCGGGACCGGGGCACUGGCCCUGAUCACAAGGUAUGCCAUGCCAAGAUCCAGGAGCUGGAGGCAGAGCUGGGGGUGUCAAGGGGCAUUGUGGCUGCCAUUAAGGGCAAGAGGACCAUGAUCGGGAAUGGUGAGGGGGAGGACUCCCUGGACCUGCACCCACCCCACUAUGAUUAUGAGGAUGAUGUGUGGGGUGCUAAUGGCCCCACCAGGCCGUCCCCCUAUGCUCCUCUGCGGGAGGAGGUGUGCCAGCUGCAAGUAGGGGAGGUAGAGGCUUCCAGAGAUAAAAAGGUCCCACACGAUGAGCCAGUCAGCCAUGUCCCACUCCAGCCCAUAGACACCAACAAGGCUGUGCUCUGGUUUACCCCUGAGCAGCUUAAGACAGUGGGGAAGAUGCUGGGGCCACUGACAAAGGAGACAGCAAUUAACUGGCUGUCCAGGAUCCAGCGUCUGCCCAAGUGCCAGAAUGGCAACUUUGUGAGUGACCUGAUAGACAUUGUGAGAAAGAGCAUGAAACCAGAUGAUUUUGCUUCACUGCCGGGGGAUGUGCAGAUGGGCAAUGUCCAGGAUAUUGGGGAUGUCCUGCUGGCUGUGCUGAAGGUGUUCUUCCCAGAGGUCAACCCUUUAGUGCUCUUCCAUCAGGAGAAGCAAAACCCUGAGGAGAGGCCCGAUGCCUAUGUUAACCGUAAAAAGAUGCUCUACCAGAUGGCUGGGCUGCCUGGCUCAAAGGACUCCCCCCUCAAUUUUGACAGGCCUGAAUUCAAGGAGCCACUGGUGGUAGGGCUGACACCCCCACUGCGGGUGAUUGCUGGUGGGGAUGCAGCCAAAAAGCCUCUAUCAGAGCUGGAGCAGAUCCUGAACCAGAAUUUUGAGCUGCAAAAGCAGGCAUUCCCAGGGUACAUGUUGGGGGGGAAGAAAGGGAAAACCAUGGCCAUGUCUUUCCAAAAUGGAGGGAUGAGAAAAAUGCAAGGAGACAACCGAAAAGAUCCUGAUGGCAAGGGGGGGCUGGGGAAGGAGAACCAGCAAGGGAUGAGGUUUCAGAAGUCUAACUCUUGGCGGGCUGAGCUGAGGAAGCGCUUGAUAAAGUACGAGAAACAGGAGGACAUUGAUGGCUUGCCGGAUGCGGAGCUCUUCCAAAAACUGGCCCUGCAUGAGGCCAAAAAGCACAGCAGCUCCCACCCAAUUGACCCAGGGUCUAAGGCUCAGCAAUAG